rnacentral:rRNA from 1 species
CCAAUAGCGUAUAUUAAAGUUGUUGCAGUUAAAAAGCUCGUAGUUGAACUUCGGGGUUCACCCAUUGGUCAGGCUUAACUGUCUGUACUGAUGAGAUGAAUCUCUACCUUCUGAGGAACUUUCAUGCCAUUUAUUUGGUGUGAUUGGAAAUCAGGACUAUUACUUUGAAAAAAUUAGAGUGUUUAAAGCAGGCUAACGUCUGAAUACAUUAGCAUGGAAUAAUGAAAUAGGACGGAUUGGUUCUAUUUUGUUGGUUUCUAGGAUCACCGUAAUGAUUAAUAGGGAUAGUUGGGGGCAUUAGUAUUCAAUUGUCAGAGGUGAAAUUCUUGGAUUUAUUGAAGACUAACUACUGCGAAAGCAUUUGCCAAGGAUGUUUUCAUUAAUCAAGAACGAAAGUUAGGGGAUCGAAGACGAUCAGAUACCGUCGUAGUCUUAACCAUAAACUAUGCCGACUAGGGAUCGGACGAUGUUAAUUUUUUUAAUGACUCAUUCGGCGCCUUACG